CCGCAAUGGACGAAAGUCUGACGGAGCAACGCCGCGUGAGUGAUGACGGCCUUCGGGUUGUAAAGCUCUGUUAAUCGGGACGAAAGGCCUUCUUGCGAAUAGUUAGAAGGAUUGACGGUACCGGAAUAGAAAGCCACGGCUAACUACGUUGCCAGCAGCCGCGGUAAUACGUAGGUGGCAAGCGUUGUCCGGAAUUAUUGGGCGUAAAGCGCGCGCAGGCGGAUAGGUCAGUCUGUCUUAAAAGUUCGGGGCUUAACCCCGUGAUGGGAUGGAAACUGCCAAUCUAGAGUAUCGGAGAGGAAAGUGGAAUUCCUAGUGUAGCGGUGAAAUGCGUAGAUAUUAGGAAGAACACCAGUGGCGAAGGCGACUUUCUGGACGAAAACUGACGCUGAGGCGCGAAAGCCAGGGGAGCGAACGGAUUAGAUACCCCGGUAGUCCUGGCCGUAAACGAUGGGUACUAGUGUAGACGUAUCACCCUC
rnacentral:rRNA from 1 species